AUUGAACGCUGGCGGCAGGCCUAACACAUGCAAGUCGAGCGAGCGGCGGAGGGGGGAGUAAUGUGUGUGGAAUGCCCGAUAGAGUGGGUUAACCACUGGAAACGGUAGCUAAUACCCCACACUAUACGAUAACCCAUAUGGGAGUAGCGAGUAGGGGAGGUAAUGGCUCUCAUAGACGACAAUCCCUAGCUGGGCUGAGAGGAUGAUCAGCCACACUGGGACGGAGACACGGCCCAGACACCUACGGAGGCAGCAGUGGCGAAUAUUGCACAAUGGGCGCAAGCCUAAUGGAGCCAUGCCGCGUGUAUGAAGAAGGCCUUAGGGUUGUAAAGUACUUUCAGGCGGGAGGCGUUACCGACAGAAGAAGCACCGGCUAACUCCGUGCCAGCAGCCGCGGUAAUAC
rnacentral:rRNA from 1 species